rnacentral:rRNA from 1 species
CCUACGGGAGGCAGCAGUGGGGAAUAUUGGUCAAUGGAGGAAACUCUGAACCAGCAACGCCGCGUGAAUGAUGAAGGUCUUCGGAUUGUAAAGUUCUUUUCUAAGGGAAGAAGAAAGUGACGGUACCUUAGGAAUAAGCCUCGGCUAACUACGUGCCAGCAGCCGCGGUAAUACGUAGGAGGCGAGCGUUAUCCGGAAUGACUGGGCGUAAAGGGUGCGUAGGUGGUUUGACAAGUUGGUAGCGUAACUCCGAGGCUCAACCUCGGCACUACUACCAAAACUGUCGGACUUGAGUGCAGGAGGGGCAAUUGGAAUUCCUAGUGUAGCGGUGGAAUGCGCAGAUAUUAGGAGGAACACCGGUGGCGAAGGCGAAUUGCUGGACUGUAACUGACACUGAGGCACGAAAGCGUGGGGAGCAAACAGGAUUAGAUACCCGGG